AGUGAACGCUGGCGGUAGGCCUAACACAUGCAAGUCGAACGGCAGCACAGUAAGAGCUUGCUCUUACGGGUGGCGAGUGGCGGACGGGUGAGGAAUACAUCGGAAUCUACUUUUUCGUGGGGGAUAACGUAGGGAAACUUACGCUAAUACCGCAUACGACCUACGGGUGAAAGCAGGGGAUCUUCGGACCUUUCGCGAUUGAAUGAGCCGAUGUCGGAUUAGCUAGUUGGCGGGGUAAAGGCCCACCAAGGCGACGAUCCGUAGCUGGUCUGAGAGGAUGAUCAGCCACACUGGAACUGAGACACGGUCCAGACUCCUACGGGAGGCAGCAGUGGGGAAUAUUGAACAAUGGGCGCAAGCCUGAUCCAGCCAUACCGCGUGGGUGAAGAAGGCCUUCGGGUUGUAAAGCCCUUUUGUUGGGAAAGAAAAGCAGCAGGUUAAUACCCCGCUGUUCUGACGGUACCCAAAGAAUAAGCACCGGCUAACUUCGUG
rnacentral:rRNA from 1 species